AGCUUUUUCCUGUUUCUAUCCUGUUUAAGGAUACAGUCCUGAACAGCAUUUUGAGGAAGAGAUUGCAAAAUUUAAGUGCCAAGCCUGGAUCUGUACCACUUGAGCUACUGAAGAUAUGAGAACAUAAACUAGAAAAAGGGUGGCUCUCUCCUGCUCCAGAAGAGGCAGGAGCAAUAAGUUGGCGAUGCUGGUUUAUGUACUUACUGUAACUCUUUUGAGGUACUUUUUUCUUUCCUUUCAAAGUUUGAUAAGAGUUUGGCUUUAAAGUACAAACUUUUAAUACCAUUUAAAAACGUAACUGAAAUAACUGACUAUGUCCUUUCUAGAUGGAUAGUAUUUUCUUGGAGCUUGGUACUGUUUUGGUAAAAUACAAAAUUCAGUAGGCAAAGAAAACUUGUUUAAUAAAGCCUUUAAUUUUUGGGCUCAGUUAGUGUGUUCCAUAGUGCUUCAGAAACAAAGCACUAGUGUUUGGACCUUUUUUCUUUCUACUUUUCUGACACUACACAUUUGUAUUUCAGAUAUUUAAAAUUUGUGAGUGGAUCAUUGCUGUGAAUGUGGAUGUCUUCUGAGUAAUUCAGAAUGUGCUUGUAUAGAUAUAUAAAGCCAGAGAACAAAUACGAAUAAGGAAGAAAUUGGCUGAACAAUGUGGGAAGCCAGAAGUCAUUGGUAACAUAAUUUUGACAUUAAAGCAAGAAAUUCUCUACUUAAGUUAAUCUCUUCUCAUGUUAGAUCUUUCAUUGCUUUUUUAGUAAAUCAUCUUUAAAGCCAUUUAAAAAGUCUCUACAGAUGAAGUGAGCCAAGUGGGUGAAAGUUACUUGUAUUUAUAAAGAUGAGAUCCAGAUGGCAAAACACGGAAAUGGAAACCUAGUGGACAAUGUUAGAACAAAAUUUGUUAAGACAUAGAUGGAGGAAAGUGGCUAUGAGUUUACUUUGCAGUUGACAAAUGUUCUAGAACAGCUGUAAAGAUUGUUUGGGAGAUCAUAGAAAAGAAACCUGUUCCAUAAGUUUGCCGGCUUUACUCAACCUUCAUUUGAGAUGCAGCUGGGUAAGGGUGCUCUGGAGAAAGGAAAAUAACAAUUACCAAUUCAGUUUCCUACUUCUGUUUCUUUUCCAAAUCCUCUUCCACUGUAUGAACUUGAUAUCACUACUCAGAGAGAAACUAGCAGUUUCUAUUUUCAAUACCACAUCAGUUCAAAUAUUUCUCUGCACACUGCACUGGGACUUAGCAACCAGCUGUGCCUUGGGUGAGUUCUGUGUUUGCUGAAAUGUCAGAUUAAAAAAUCAUAAUUUAUAAAACCAGUGGCGUGAAUUUGGGAAGGCCUCUUAUGCCCCAUGGCACAGCGUUGAGUCUGAGUGCCAUACCAACCUGCUGUCAUCAAGCUAAGUUUUGUGAGCUUGAAGGACAGAAAUUCCACUCUUCUGUUAAGCAUGUGAGAACUGCAGGCGCUGCUUUGGUGAGGAGGCACCUAAAAUCUUCUGUAAGUUCAGUGUGUGAAUAUGUAGAACUCUUUAAACAUGCAAGGAAAAGUUGGUAUCUCCUUAUUAAGUGCUUAAAAAAGGUUGUGUAGUGAGUGUUAAACAUUACUUUUGGAUCAUUAAUUGCUAAUGACAAGGAAUUUGUCAUUUGUCAUGAUUCCAGAGAACAAAGCAUAUGAGGCUUUGUAACCUGUGUCUUAAUAUACAGUAGAGAUUAUCAAAAUAGACCCAGGGAGUGUACUUAGAAUUUUUCCACCACUUCAUAGGGCCAGUGUUUCGUAGUUGGUGGAUAUUUUACCCUGCUUCUUAAAAGUAGUUACUGUGUUAACUUAAAUGCAACAUGAAACAGUAAUAAUCCAGGAGUCUGCAACUCCUAAUGAAAGCAUAGAAGAAUUAAUUGCUUGCUUGUUCUCUCUUGGUUGGUUAAAGGUAUUUGUUACCACAAACAAUGUACAGUGAUAAACAUCAAAUAUGUCAGAUCAUAUUUUGAAUCAAGGAAGCCAUCAAGAUGUUAUGUCAUGUAUACAGUAGAAAAUUUAUUAAAAUAUUACUUCUGCUGCUUCUUAACUUUUAAAGUAUGCAGAAAUUAAUCAGACUGCAAGCCUUACCUGCUGUCAUAGUCAAUCUUAGUAGAAAAAAAUGCUUUUUGGGGCAUGUUUCAGCCAAAUACUGAUAUUCGAGCAUGUGACCAACCUCUGCUGCCUUAGAGCCUAUGGUUCCCACUGAUGGAUCUAUGUAGAAAGCCUGGCUUCAAAGGUGGAGUUUGUUUUGUUUGAGUUUUGGAGGGUUUGGGGUGAAGUUCUUAAUGUAGCCAAGGUGUUGUGAGGAGCAGCCAAAAUAAUUAUGAAUCUUAGUCACACUAAUAUGCCAGAAUUUCAAGGCAGUGAUUUAAUGCUUCCAGGGUAAUAAGAAUGGUUAAGUGCUAAUCAUGUUCCCCUUCCAUAGCUUCCAUUGCUACACUCUAGUCCACAUAAGGUAUGUUUAUGUAUCAGAAGAGAGUCUCUGUUUUGUGUUAGUCUUUUUAUGAAGUGGAAGUGGAAUAACUUGGAGGUUAAUGCGAUGCAUGAUAUAGGCAACUAACUUCAUCUACUCUCAAAACAGAGCUUCCCUUAAUUGUCUUUGCACUGCAGAAAUAGUAGUGGCUGACUGAUAACCUUCUGGUUAAGAACUAUAGCAUUUUCAUCACUAGGAUUUUUCCAAAUACACAAUAAUUUAAGUCAGGUUUACCCAUAGACCCAUUUUGACUUAAGCCUUGAGCCUGCUUUUUUUCAGAGAAAUUAAUGUUUUUCAGUGUUUCCACUGAAGAGGUUGCACUCUAAAUUGGCUAAAUAAAUUCUCAGUGAGAAACUCAGGGUUCAGAAAUGGAAUUAAACCUUUCUUUGAUUUGCAACAAAGUGUUUUUCAGUUAGGACUUACAGGUGCCGGUCCAACUGCCCCCUUUCCUUCCCCACUGGUUUGGGAAGGGGGAGGGAUCUUGUUUAGAAGUAGGUUCCCUGUCCUUUCAGGCAGUCAGCCUGUGGAGAAACAUUUCAUUUUGUGACACAUCAAAUCAGAUUUGCACUUGGAACCAUACAGAUUUUUGUACUGUGGCCACCUCCAGCAUGUACAGAGGUGGUGUGGAGUGCCACGUGCUAAUUUAACAUAAUUUUCUGAGAAGUGAAAUGGAUGGCAAAUCGUGCUGACAGUAUUUAUAAUAAUAUAUUAAUAUGUUUUUAGGAAACAAUGUGGCCCCUGCUUCUGUUUGUAUUUAUAAUUUAGCAUGAAUCAUAACCAGAAGUCAGAACUUUGCUGGUGAAAAGAAUGGGUAUUAAUAGUGGAAGUGCCAGGGCAGAUUUUGUAUAUUGAAAGCUGACAAAAAAGACAAAUUUCCAGAGGUUUCAGUAAGUGCAUCAUUAAAUCAUCCUUGGCUCCUUCUCAGUUGUUUUUUUUUCAAAAUGAUGCUUCUCUAAGCAAAAAUAUAAACAUGUGAAGCACUGAAGGUGACUUUCUUGGAAGAAUUAGAUUUUUUCCUCACUAAGGAAAUAUAUUUUUUCUGAAGAUGUCCAGCUGAUUAAUGCCAGACCGCAUGGAAUUACUGAGUGAAAUCCUCAAGAUGUUUUAGUGUUUUUAUAGCACAACUUGGUUGUCAAUGUUUUUGUGUAUAUGAAAAUAUUUGGCAGCUUUGUUGACCAGAUAGGCGAUGGUAUGUGAAUUUCACAUUUUAUAUAAAGGCCCUUGGUUUCAUAUCUGCAAUUAGGGGUUUAGCAUUCAGUUGAAACAGCGGUUAAACGCUUGCCUUCAUGAUUUCUGUAAUGUCACAAGAAGGGAGAGCCUUGUGUCAUGCUCCACUCCACCAGCUAUGAAUGUUUGGUUUUUCUGAAGUCAUUUUUGGACCCAGCAAGCUGUCAAGCCUGAAAUUGCCUGUUGUCCUGCUGGCCUCAGCAGCUCUCCCCAUGGCCCGUGAGGGGACUUAGCUCAGCUCUUCUGGUGAUGAAAGUAAGUUCCAUCCUCACCGUGGAACCCCGUUACUAUGUUUGGCAUGAGCAGCACUGAGAAAUGUACAUAUUGUAUAAAUUCCCUUCUUGAAGUACUACCAGUACUUUGGUUAAGCCACUGUAAAACUACUGGUAUGCAUUUGUUCAUAGUUUGGAAAAUACUGUUUUCAUUACAGUAAACCAAUAUAAACAUCAGCAAUAUUGCUAUCAAACAAAUUAGUUCUCAUAUGAAAUGUAUGGUAAGUAAAUUUGUUGUGUAGCUGAAUACAGUGGUAUUUAAUGGAACUUGGUUUGGUGCCAAGCAAACAUAUGGAUCUUUAAAUGCAUUUCCCUUGGGGCUGUGUUGAAAUCAUCCACCAAUAACAUGGGCCGAAUUCCCUUCCAGAUUUGCAGGCUGGCUGCCCUUAUUAUUUGAGGUUUGAAAUGAAGCUAAUGGUGCAACAAUUUCUGUUUUGUCCAUUUUGGUUUUUUUGGGUUUUUUUUAAAUUUGCUUCACUAUAGUUUUUCUUCUCUCAAUCCCUCCCAACAGCCUUCCUUUUAACCUAGAAAAGAGUUUUAUUUUAUCUUUAAAAGCCACAAAGGUUCUUGAUUCCUUUGGGGAUUCUUGUCUUCAUUGCUCUUCUACUUCUUUCCUUUUACCAGGGAAAAUUGAUAUAAGGGGAGAUAAGUCUAAGACAAGGUAAUAUAGGUAAAUAUUCUUGUAUUUGCAGCUUUACAAUAAUGAAAAUUAUUACUUCAGGAAUAUAUGUAUUUUGGAAAAAUAAUUUUUUCAGAAAGUACUGGCUUUUUUUUUUUUUUAGUUGUGAUAGUCUGUGUUCUUUAACAGGAAGUGGUAUUGACAAAGCUGCUUCAGCCAUCAUAUUUUUAACCACAGGACUUUAAUAGGCUGCCACGACAGGUUGCAUUACACUUGCAGCAGAAGUUAUAGCAUAGAUCCUCAUCUAUGAUCUUGCUACUUGCUUUGCUUGCUGGAUGUAGAAGUAUUUGAAAUCAGUGUCAUUCCUUUCUCAUUAUGAAGCUCAUGUAUCAAAGCUUAAUACAGUGUUCCUCCAUAGCAGUCACUAUUAAAGCAGGUUUUAAAAAUUACUGUAAUUACCUCAAGUCAUUUAAAUUUAACUCACUGCACUUUAUUUAAAACCUUCCCUUUAUAUUUAAUCAAAUGCUGAAGUGGUGCUAAGAAGGAUGAGCUUCAUUUUUGACUUUGUCAAAUUCCCUCCGGUACUACAAACACAAGUGAGAGUGU
ensembl:lncRNA